GAGAAUUUACCAUUAAAUUGCACAACGCUAGAAAAAUAAACACCGCACAGAUAUGCUCCGCGCAUAAUUUCAUGGUGGAAUUUACUGUAUAAGCAUCACACACAUUCUGUGAAGGCCCAACAAUAGGCAACUCAAUUCAGGAACUUCAAGAAAGUAUUAAAAUUUGGCUUGUUUAGUUGGCCAUUAUACUUAACUUUUUGGGAAGUAAAGGCUCUUAAUUUCUUCACUUCCCAUGAAGUAAUUUACUUACCCCAACCUAGUUAAAUUACUUCCAAAGACGUGAACUUUUCAGGAAGUAACUCAUUUGUAUCAACCAAGGUCUAAGAAUUUUUCCAGACGAACUGCAUAUGAAGUCAGAAUCAAUAACAAGGAAUGACAAUGCAUUUCAUGCUGAGGAUUAUACAUUAAUGUUUUCCAGGGAUGCCCCCUUCCCAUGAGAAAAGCUUACAUUCAUGGGACUGAAGGUAUGCUCUAUCCAAUAUCGUGCAUAUAACUGUUUCUGAUGCAAGAUAAACGUAUAAUGAAUUCA
rnacentral:misc_RNA from 1 species